rnacentral:tRNA from 1 species
GUCCCCAUCGUCUAGCCUGGCCCAGGACACUGCCCUUUCACGGCAGCGACGGGGGUUCAAAUCCCCCUGGGGACGCCA